GAGACAUGAUGACAUAGUUUAUCCAUUCUCUGAGCCGCCAGUCGUCUUGCAUUUCUGUAUUCUCGUUUUGAGAAUUCAGGGCACCUUACCACCUAUUUGCAUUGGUUGCUGCGUUCUGCAGUUGACUCUCUGCAUAUAGGUGUUUGGGCAGGGCGUCUGAGUGCUAAAGAUGAUAGGAGCUAUCUGAUCAC